UGACCUGUGAACAAAAUGUGUGAGCAACGU
rnacentral:piRNA from 1 species